UUAUUUCUAAGGUUUCUAAGUCAACGUUAUAAAAUCAGUAACGACAUGAUAUAAGACUUUUACACUAUACUGUGUAUCCUGUUUCGUAAAGUGUUCAGACGGGAGGAAUGAUAAAAGGUGGACGCGGAUACGCGUCCCCGUGAAGUGUUAAGUAUCAUGCACGCGUAGCACCCUCUCUUAGAAGCUUCAUUCAUCGUACCCUUACGCACCCUCCGGUUAUUCCUACUGACCGACUGACGUUUAUUUGUGUAUGUGGUCGUAACGACGCUAAGCACGAAGCUCUUCUUAACGUAGAAAGACAUCAUUCAUUUUGUUAUGCAUACCUGGCGUGGACAUACCGGUGUCCAUGCACGUUCUUCGUGCAGUUGUAGGAACACCCCUGAAUUCUGAACGCAUGCGCAAUCUUUCCAUCCCCCUCUGCCCCCGGAUGUGUCGGUCUCUCAUGCAAGAGGGUGCGAAGCCAAACGUUAGUCCUCAGUAAAGAAUUAAACGCGAUUCCGCGAGGGUGCCCCCCUUUAGAAAUCACAUUGCGGGACACAUUGUAGUGUAUAUAUAUGUAUAUUGUAUAGAUUCUAUUUUUAUACGAUUGAAAAACGAGAUAAAUGACUUUUUUACAACAGAUUCGAUUGACUGAGAGUGACAAUACAGUCGCGAUUGUCCGCGAAGAAACGACAGACAGAUCGAUAUAGUAGAAAGUUAAAUUUUUUUUGUACACGGAUUAGGUAGGUCCAACAGAGUCCAACAUUACCGAUGGGUAGAACAGAUAUGUCAAAAACGCUGAACGCUUAUAGAAUCAAAAAAAUAGAAAAUAUUGGUAGAAUGACGGCCAUGACGCAGGAAGAAAUUAUGGCUGGUGCCAGAAUUGUAUCCCAGGGUCUGGAAGCCCUCCGUGUCGAACAUGGGGGCCUUCUACAAGCCCUACAGACCCAGGAUGCACCAGUCGCGAGAGACAAAGCUAGCUUGCUAUCGAAGAACAUUGAGAUGAUAGAGUUGGGCCUUGGUGAAGCACAGGUCAUGAUGGCACUUGCAAAUCAUUUACAAAUGGUAGAGGCUGAGAAACAAAAGCUUAGAACGCAAGUGAGAAGGUUGUGCCAAGAGAAUGCCUGGUUAAGGGAUGAAUUGGCUGGAACGCAACAGAAGUUGCAAGCCAGUCAGCAAGCACUAGUCCAAUUGGAAGAACAGAAGAAACAUCUAGAUUUUAUGGAAAGCAUGAAGCAAUAUGAUCCUGAUCCUUCUGCGGAUGAUGAAAAUGCAAAAGACCGGCCACCAGAUGAUCCUGUGGUUGAUCUAUUCCCCGAUGAUGAUGCGGACGACCGAAAUAGUAAGUCGAUAUUACCGACACCGCCUUCGCAAUUUGCACAACAAGUGAACGCUGGAUACGAGAUACCCGCGCGCUUGCGUACACUGCACAAUUUGGUUAUACAGUACGCCAGCCAAGGCCGUUACGAGGUGGCCGUUCCUCUCUGUAAACAAGCGCUGGAAGAUCUGGAAAAGACUUCUGGUCACGAUCAUCCUGACGUCGCUACGAUGUUGAAUAUCCUUGCUUUAGUAUAUAGGGAUCAAAAUAAAUAUAAAGAAGCAGCGAACUUGCUGAACGAUGCCUUGGCUAUUCGUGAAAAGACGCUCGGUGAAAAUCACCCUGCAGUCGCUGCCACGUUGAACAACUUGGCCGUUUUAUAUGGAAAACGAGGCAAAUACAAGGAGGCUGAGCCGUUGUGCAAACGUGCUCUUGAUAUCCGAGAAAAGGUUCUCGGUCGUGAUCAUCCUGAUGUCGCGAAGCAGCUGAAUAACCUCGCCUUGCUUUGCCAGAAUCAGGGUAAAUACGAAGAAGUGGAGCGCUAUUACUUGCGAGCGCUGGAGAUCUACGAAGGCAAACUUGGACCGGACGAUCCUAAUGUCGCGAAAACGAAAAAUAAUUUGGCAUCGUGUUACUUGAAGCAAGGAAAGUACAAGGAUGCGGAAGUUUUGUACAAACAAGUAUUGACUAGAGCACACGAGAAAGAGUUUGGUGCUAUUGCUGGUGAUAACAAACCAAUCUGGCAGGUUGCUGAAGAAAGAGAGGAGAAUAAACAUAGAAAUAAAGAGAAUGCUCCGUAUGGAGAAUAUGGAGGUUGGCACAAAGCUGCUAAAGUGGACUCACCUACAGUCACGACUACUCUAAAGAAUCUUGGUGCGUUGUAUCGAAGACAAGGAAAAUAUGAAGCGGCCGAAACUCUAGAAGAUUGCGCUCUUAGGUCACGAAAAGAGACAUUGGAGUUCGUGAAGCAAGGGAAAGUCGCGCAAAUUUUAGGGGAAGAAAAAGGGUCGACGAGACGCGGUUCGCGAUCCAGUUUAGCCAACAGUGAACACGAGCAACACGACGAGGGCUCGCUGCCGCUGGUACAAAGGGCGCUACAUGAAGGACAGUCUGGCCACAACGACGCUAGUCCUAACAAACCGGGUUUUAAAAACAAGAUCUUCCAAGCUUUCGGGAUUCACUCUUCCACGUAGGAUAUUCUUCGUCUGUAGUAUUGCCUGUCGUUCGAUUUAUGCCCAGUCGCAUGGUGAUUUUCGGUGUAUACAGCAUCGAAAAGUCUAUACUUCUAGAACGAGAAAGAAUUAUUUAAAGAAAGCGUACUAUUGUUUGGGAGAAGUUAUAUUUAGGUAUUCGUUUUUAAAUUCCACGAUAGUGUAAUCCAAAUACGCUGAGGAAUUUGCGAUCUUUUGGAAACUAUCUUAAACGAUUCCUCUUAAAUGCAAGCAUUUAUAGGAAUUUAUAGUAGUUUGGACGUAGGUAUGGGCCUUUGGCAAUUUUUUUGGGCAUUUGAUAUACUGUUUUUUCUCGCAGCCAGAUAUCCCCAAUUGACAAUGACGACAGCACAUCAUAACUGCACAUUCUUUUAUUACAUUUACUAAACGAGUAUUUCUAUAAUCCUUCGAUGCUAUUUUUCCAUUUGUAACUCUUUUCUUAUUUGGGAAAGUAUCGCGUAGAAAAAGUAUACAGUCUUUUAUAAAUUACUUCCACUUGUAAGCUGUGAUAACGAUGCCCUUUCACUUCACGUUAAUUUCUCUGUGUGUUUUUUUCGUCGUAUUCUGCCUUUUAAACAAAAAUAUCGAAGAUAUUUGUAUUCCGUACUUUUUAAAGACAAGCGAAUCAAUUGAAAUUCGAUGGAUAGGUGCUUUUCUACAAAGCAUUUUAUUUUUAUCACAUCGCAUUAUUUAUCUAUAAUUAUUAUUAUUAACAGUUUUAAACUUUUUACGCUUGUAUUAUACACAAUCGUAUAGAAAGCAAUUAGAAUAAAUCAAUAAGCUUCCAGAGACAAUUAUUUUCGUAGUGAAACUACACGAAUCGGCCGUCUCACGUGUUACUCUUGGCUGAGAUAGGAUGAUAAGAAAAGUAACAUUGUUUUAUGUUCGAGCUAUUUUAUCAUGUAAGCCAGAACACCGUGAAACUACGCACACGAAUUACAAGUAGUCAAUUCUAGCAGCGGCUUUUGCUUAACUAUAUAGUUCAGUAUAGAUUUGCAAAGGUGACAAUUUCACGAUGAUGAAUGUGUAGAGAAAAUUAAUAAUAAUCAAUCUAACGAUUUGCAGUUCAACAUGCGAAGAAUCAUUUUUUGUAACAGGUUGUUCUUGCGAUAUUCUCGUAUACGUAGUCUGUUCUUAAUUUUUAAUAACGGAAAACAGUCUUCUUCAAGCCUCAGAUGACUCGUGUCAAUAGUUUACAUUCAUUUUUCACUUAUUAUAAUUAACACGAAUUUUAUAUUUUUCUCGUUUUAUUAUAUAACGAAGAGGAAUUCUUCAUCUUGCUUAGGAUUACACUUGACUGUAUCCUAUAGUUUUAACACGAUGUGAGGUGUCUCGAAGUUUUCCCAUAAGUGUUUUAUUAUUUUUCUUCUUCAAAAAGUAUUCGUUGUAUACAUACAAUACAUAUUUACGUAUAUACGUAUGUUAUUAUUUUCAAACUAUCCUCAUUUGUGUAACAAAUGACUAUAUUUUAAAAAGAAGAUCUCAAGAGCCUGCGUUUCUUAUUCUCGUUCGGGGCACCUUGUAUCAUCCCUCACUAUUUUUUUAAAUUAAUCUCCAACUACAUUUCUAGACUUCGAACUUUCUAUUCAAAAGGGAAAGAAGGAUAAACGAAUAAAGAUAUCCUAUUAUUAUUCGACCAUAUGGUACAAUGUUUCUGAACUCGUGAUUAAUUAUUACGAAAGCUGGAUUAUUUAAUAUAAGUAGUGCCUUGAGACUUUAACGAGCGAGCGAAUAAAUUAUUUUUUAACUGAACAUGGUUGUUACUCGACUAUAUAUGGGAUUGUCGUGUAUCAUGGGGUAUAUCCUUAUCAUAUUCUGUGUCUGUGUUCCUUUUUCUUUAUUUGUUAUAUAACCAAAUCAUGUAGGAACCUUUGUAUGAAACCAAGAAUGCGUAUGUAACAGGUUUGCAUUAUUAAUUCUCCUCGCACGCCAUUUGUGUUUCUUAACCAUCAUUGUUAUCAGUCGUUUUUUCGAUAUUUGCGUUGUCGUUUUGUUUCGCUUUGAUUUGAGUACUCUGCGGGCCGGGACUUAGAUAAAAGGAUGUCACUCUGGAGUACAAUUUCGUCUGGACAGCAAAAUACCGGGGCGAAACUAGACCGGGUUUCUGUAGCAGGAACGGAAGUAUUACGUUCGUGCGCAGUAAAGGGAUACCACAUAAGAGAGCUAUACGCGAAACGAUAACGCCAGGAUGAUAAAAGGGCUCUGCAUUGUUUAGUUGAAACAUUGACUGAUGUCCAUUCUAUCUGAAUCGUUUAACGUAUAACAGCACAUUCCAGCUGCUUUUCUCGAUCAAUCAGACGCACCGUAAAAAAGAAGUACUUCAUGUUGCUGUUCGUGCUCGACACACGGAACGAAUUAUUAUGGCUUUGUGCUAGCGACUGAUCGUUUUGGAAUAGAAAAAGGAAAGGAAAGAAACACAAUGUCUGCAAGGCGAAUUGGUCUAUCUUGCUUUGAACGUGCAUCUGAAUCAAAAUUCGAAUUCAAGUUAAUCAUAUUUCCUUGCGUUCUAUGUCUUUUCACUCGAAUAAUAGAAGAGAUUCGUUGCUGCAAACUUACAUUGACCUAACAGAAAGAAAGAAAGAAAUACCGCGAUGUAUUCAAUUCUUUUCUCGCGUUGUACAGAAAAAGCGACGGACAGUUUUCUUCUUAGACACAGUAUACGUCCAUACUUGUAUCUACAUGCAUCUAAUCAGGCCGUACACGCGUAUACAUAUCCCUUUCGUUGAUCACUAUUAUCAUAUUCGAAGUAACAUGACAACGUGUAAUCAUUCCACGAGCUCUAGCUUUUUUCGAUCGACACUCGGAUAAAAUCCGAAGAAAAAGUGCAGUCACAUUUAAACAUAGGGGGAACAUUUGUAUGUCGCUUAGCAUUAUUGAAUGUAUUCUUACACACACAGAGACACACAUACACCGUGCACGUUAGAAUAAUGCGAGUAUAUUCAUCGUCAUAUUAAUGAUUGUAACAAGAUAGAAGGGGGAGAACCGCGCUUUCCCUUUCGUUUCUGUCUCAGAGUUCAGUUAUGCAGAUGCUAACGUGUAAACAGUAUAGAGGAAAGAGCCAAUCUGACUGGCGACGUUUGAUUUCUCUAUCCUAUUUAUAAUUGUAUACAUAAGUACUUACGUAUUCGCAGAUAUUUAAUUUAUUCUCUAUGCGUUCGAUAUGGUAUGUUGUAUUAUAAGAUCGUGAUUAUUUAAAUUAUUUCGAAGAGGAAAAAUUUUAUUCUUCUUAUCUUUCCUUGGAGCCAUUUUUAUUGGGAUGAGGAUAUCUUUUUAGCAAAAUUUACGUAUCGCCCUGAACAUCGUGUUAUUGUUUUCAAAAGUUAAGAAUCGUAUAUUGUAACCGGCUGUGAAUUAAAAACUGAGUCUGAAAAAUCCUCUGAUCGAUGAGUAGCAGUCACGACGACGUAGAAUGAUGAUCGUUUGAAUUAGUCGAGUCCUUACGGUAGAUAUAAGCUUUAUUCGAGUUAAGAACCUCACGUUUUUGUUUAGCGUUGCCAUUUCUUACAGAUUUCACACAACAUGUAUCGCUUAACUCUUUCAUUACAAAACCAGUUGCUAUAAUGACUGAUUACUGUAUGUAUUCAGUCGCAAUGGUGAUUAUAGUUUACUCUAUAGUCACACGGCGAACAGAAUUAUACUAACAAGCAUGGAAAUCAUUGUCGCGAAUAUUUAAUAAUUAAUCUAUGUUGUACAGAGUAAUUGUAGUUGCUUUCAUGGCUGCAUGGAAUGCAACUAUAAUUAUACUUAUAUAGAAAUAUUACGGAAGAAAGUAGCGAAUGUAAUCUAUUACGAGAUAUUUUCAUCAAUGCAUGAUGACAACGAAUGACGGUAUAUAUAUAUAUAUCUAUAUAUACAUAUAGUAAUGAAUUAUUACUAUAUUAUUAUAAUACUUGUUCUAUCACAGUAACGUAUCCAAUUGAAGAAAAAGAGCAACUUUUACACAGUGGCUAUUUGCUUAUUAAACACACUUUAAAAAUUUGCUUGUUAUAAACUCUCUUCGCAUGUGUAAAAUUGUUGAAUAACUGAGAAAGAGUUUUAAAAAAGACAAAGAAAGAUCUUUCGAAAUAGAAAAAAGAAAUUUGCUUUAUCGCAAAAUCUUUAUAACGUGAGUUCCAUUGGACUGGCCUAGUUCAAAAGAUUCAGGAUUACACUCCGAAUAUCUGGUGUAUAGGAAUCAUUUACAGUCGUAGCGACGAUACGAUGGUUCGUUUUUCGAGUUCAUGCAAUUUUCCGGUGACAAGGCGAGAUUUCAUUUUUUUUUUUUAUUCGAAACUGCGCAAUACAACCUCGGUGUUUAGUCCUGCGUUCAUCGAUGAUGAUUCUUAGUCGUUUUUUAAAUAAUCAUUAUUUCCUAUUUAUCGUUAAUUUCACUUCAUUCUUGUAGUACAUCGUUUUUCAUUUGAUUUUCAUGUGUGCUCUUCUCAUUAUCCCGGAAAAGAAAACAUGCAUUUAACGAUAUACGCUAUCACAUUAUGCGCCUGAGAGCUUGAAGGCCUAGAAUUAGUACUUUUUAUUCUGCUUUGGGUUUUAUUUUUCACCUUUUCACAAUCAUUCUUAACGUGGACAAUUCCGCUUCCUGUAUUUUAACUAGCAUGUAGCAAUAUCCAAUAUACAAUUUUUUUUACGAUUCACCAGCUGGCUUAUAACGGGUAUUUUUAAGUGCAAUCUAAGUGCAAUCGAAUUAAAAUUGUUUCUAUAUGUUUAAUAAUAAUAUAGGAACUGGCACUAUAUAUUCAUAUAUCUGGCUUAAUUCUUAUCCUUUAGUUAAACGACGCAAUUAUUUGUACGAGAUGUAACUUCAAUGUUUAACUAUUGGUUAAAUUAGGUCAGAUUUUGAAGCAAUUUCGAUUUUUAAAAUUAUUUUGUUAAAUCUUCUUCUUUGAUAUUCAUUUGUAAUAUAUGUUCAGCUUUUGGUAAGCGGUAAAAGACAGCUGUAAUUUUUAAUCGCUUAAAUCUACGAUUUUAUUAUUUAUUAGAUAUUUUAGUAAGUUUUAUUUUGGCAUAGAAGGGAACACUGUUUUAUUUUUACCUUAAGGAAAUUUACCUUCUGUCUCGAGUUUUACGUGGGCCGUAGAUCAACGUCGAUCGAUCUACUUCUUCAUAGUCGAGAAAUAGAUGUGAUACAAUAUUAGGAAUAAGGUUUUUAGUCUUCACUUAUUGUCGGAAGUAGUCGCUUUAUUCUAUAAAUUGUUUAAGGUAUUGUAGCUCUCAGGUGCAAGUACUGUUAUUUAAAUAAUGUAAGUUUUGAUUUAUAAUAAAUAUUUCCACUUGUAAUCCUUGUUCAUGUGCCUCCUUCGCGUGGAAAGCAUCCGACUAUUUCUUAUCGUAACGAGAAUUUCAAAAGAUAUGCAUUUUUAAGCAACAUUGUAUUCGUGUUUUCGAAUUUUAUUAAAAUUUCGUUGCUAACAAA